rnacentral:rRNA from 1 species
GUUUGACUGGGGCGGUCUCCUCCUAAAGAGUAACGGAGGAGCACGAAGGUCAGCUAAUCACGGUCGGACAUCGUGAGGUUAGUGCAAUGGCAUAAGCUGGCUUGACUGCGAGAGUGACGGCUCGAGCAGGUGCGAAAGCAGGUCAUAGUGAUCCGGUGGUUCUGAAUGGAAGGGCCAUCGCUCAACGGAUAAAAGGUACUCCGGGGAUAACAGGCUGAUACCGCCCAAGAGUU